rnacentral:tRNA from 2 species
GCCCGGGUGGUGUAGUGGCCCAUCAUGCGGCCCUGUCGAGGCCGCGACUCGGGUUCAAAUCCCGACCUGGGCG